AUGGCCGGGGAGGACCCCAUGGCGGAGCACGGCCUCAAUCUUGCCAUCAAAGACUACCCAUUCGCUAACGAUGGGCUCCUCAUCCGGGACGCCAUCAAGGGGUGGCUACUGGUAUACGUCUCCCAGUAUUACCCGGAAGCUGCCACCAUCGCCAGCGACGUGGAACUACAGGCGCUCUAG
rnacentral:rRNA from 1 species